GUUACAGUAACUUAGGCAUGAGUUUAUUUUCUGGUGUUGACUCUAAAAUAUUUAUACCCUUCUGAUAUCAUAUUCGAAGAAGAGUGAUGAGAAGUUUCCUUUGAAAAUUUUUGUCGCAGAUUAGAAAGUCUUUAAGAUACCAAACGGGAGGCCAACGGUGUUCCACCAAGUAGGCUUGGUUGUCCGGGUGCAGCAGUCGUAGAUUACGUGGCGACAUCCUGCACAGCUUGUUGUAGUUGAUACAUAAAUGAUUCAUGCACCAGUCUGCCAAUUGAUGACCAUUGUGCAACUAUAACAAGAAUUUAUAUAAUGUAACGAGAGUCAACUCGACCCAAAAAAGUCAGGUAUGUGAAGUAAUUGAUAGAUUGAAUAGUAAUAAUAAUAAUGGUAACAGAUAGUAAUAGAAUAAUAGAUGGUUGGUUAUUCUUGAAAUACAUACACUCAUUUCAAUAGAUUUCAAUAGUAAGGAACGCGAAAGAAACAGCAUAACUAUACAAUAUCUAAUAGUACCUACAAGAGGACAAAAGUCUUUCCAGACUUAAUAAUGAUAAUGAACAUAUCGAUUCAUCCUAAACAAAUCAAUAAUUUGAGGGUAUUUACAUUCACAAAUGUAGGAACUGAUAUGGGUAUGGUUCAUCCAAAGUCACUUGAACUAGUCCAUGAAAACGCUUGGCCAGAUGUCCUUUUGAAGUGGAUACCGCGACUCGCUUAAUACCGGGGUUUAUUUGAAAGUACUGUUAGGCAAUAAAUUCACCGGCCCCAAAGAAAUUACUGGAAACUUGGACAACCCUUGUAUAAUCGAAAUAUUCUGGCUUCUUCCAAGUGACUAUACUGAUAUACUAUACAAAGUAUAUAGUGAUAUACUAUACAAACCACAUUGUAGAAUAUCCAAGAUCGAACCUAAUUGAAAAAUAUAUUCUGGGGUAAUUCGAACAACACAGCGUUAACAAAUGAUAUUGGCGAAAAAUGACGGAUACCUAAGUUUAUAAUUGUGGAAGAUUAUUUUUGAGGCGAGUUGUCGGGCAAGAUGAGAGAAAUUUGGACAACUGUUUAUAGUUUUUUCUAUUUCUUAAUAUUUUCCAUACUUUUCUUUGAGCGCCAUAUGUUCUGCUCACAUAUAGUUGAUGAAUUUUUCCCAGCAGCUUUUUUUGUUGUUUCUAACUUCCGCGUUCACUUUAUGCACUUAUCUAGUAAACGCGAAAAUAAGAAACACCAAGAAAAGCUGCUGGGAAAAAUUCAUCAACAAUAUGUAAGCAGGACGUAAGGCGCUCAAAGAAAAGUAUGGAAAAUUCUAAGAUGAAAACCAGAAAAGCAGCAGGGGUAGAUAACAUAUCUAGUGAACUUGUAUACUAUGGAGGCCUAACAGAAUUGCUGAUUCAUGUGUAUAAUAAGUUACUGGUGACAGAAAUUAUACAACAAGACUGGCACAAAAGCAUUACUAUUUCCAUAUUCAAAAAAUGCCCUGAAAACUACAAGGCGUAACGCUCUUGUGCUUCUCCAUGAUACUCCUCCAACAUGAUUUAUCGAUUUGAGUAAAUCUUUCGUUAAGGACUCUCAAAGCAAUUUUGCCAACAUUAUUCACAGGUCUAAUUCGGGAAAUAAAGGGUUUUUUUUCGAGAUCUAUAACUUUAAGUUGUCAUUACUGUUCAAGAUGGCGACCGAUUUAACAGCUGUCAAGUGAUUUAUUCUCAGUUUGGUUUGGCAAUUCAUCAUGAAUAGACUGAACAACGCUUGAAAAUAGUGCAAUUUUAUUUCGCAAAUAAUGGUUCCGUACGUAUCGCGCACUACAUCCAUUAGCGAUGUAAAGUGCGGUGUAACUUACUUUGGGCCUAAGCUCUUCAACAGCCUGCCACCCACUGUGAGGGCGAUGCCUACUAAACAAUUCAAGCUUUGUUUGAAAAAAUACUUGUUGAAUGAAUGUUUCUUCUCAUUGAAUGAAUAUUAUUUGAAUGAUUUUCAGGAUUUUUCAUGAGUUUAUAUGUAUAAAUAUAUUUUCUUUUUGUAUUUGACGUAUGUAAACUUUGUGAAAUGUAAUAGCAUGAAUAAAUAUAUAUAUUGUUAGAAUAUUAUUUCAUCCGAACAAAUUACCAGAGAGACAACCAACCCUACACUUGAAGUUUUACUUCAUGUCGUACGGUGGCGCUGCGAGUCUGCGCGUGGCGAGGCCAUCGAGGGCCAUCGAGAGAGAAAACAAGAAUAGACCUUCGAUGAUCGAGAGCGAACGACAGGGACAUAACCUUAGUGUUUUAAGUCCUUCCGUCACCCCUUCGGUUCUGCCUUGUGAACUGUACUUGUUAGAGAUAGAGUUAGACUUACUAGAGUGUCUUGAGAAUAAACGAUUAAUAUCAUCAUCUGUGUAUUAGUGAAUACUCUGUAUUUUAUAUAACCCAAAUAUUCCAAUAGGUUAUGGAACCAGCACCCUUUAAACUGCGCACUUAUUCUGAAAAUAUGUUGUAUACACAACGAGAAAAAUAUCAUUUGAGGUAAGUUGAAUUUCAA